rnacentral:rRNA from 1 species
AUGACGUUCUGGCGGCUGGGCCGCCGCAUCUGGUGGGAUGGCCUUGGGGGCGCCGCGCCAGCUGUGCCACACCUCCAGCUGGCCGCCGCGUCCCAGGAGGCCGAGCACCCCCUGCUGGAUCCCCUUCUGCAGCAGCACAACGACCUCUUCGACGAGCCACGGGGUCUUCCACCCGCCCGGGUGUACGACCAUCAUAUUCACCUCGUACCAGGCUCCACCCCCGUGGCGGUUCGGCCCUACCGCUACCCUCAGCUGCAGAAGGAUGAGUUGGAGCGACAGUGUGCCCUUAUGCUCGUGGCAGGCAUCAUCCGGAUCUCCACGUCGCCCUUCUCCGCGCCGGUGCUUCUCGCCCGUAAGUCGGACGGCACGUGGCAUUUCUGCAUCGACUAUCGCGCCCUCAACGCGGUCACGCUCAAGGACAAGUUCCCUAUACCGGUGGUCGACGAGCUCUUGGAUGAGCUCCAUGGGGCGCGCUUCUUCACCAAGCUCGAUCUCCGGUCGGGCUAUCAUCAGGUGCGCAUGCAUCCAGACGACAUCGCCAAGACGGCGUUUCGCACCCACCAUGGCCACUUCGAGUUCUUGGUGAUGCCCUUCGGCCUCGCCAACGCCCCGGCGACUUUUCAGGCCCUGAUGAACGACGUCCUUCGACCCUACUUACGGCGGUUUGUGCUUGUUUUCUUUGAUGACAUUCUUAUCUACAGCGCCACCUGGGCCGAGCACCUCCAGCACGUCGCCAUCGUCUUCAACGAGCUUCGGGCGCACCACCUCCACCUUAAGCGCUCGAAGUGCUCGUUCGGGACACCUACCAUCGCCUACCUCGGCCAUGUCAUCUCGGCCGACGGGGUGGCUAUGGACGCCGACAAGGUGGCGGCCGUCUCUGCAUGGCCGAUGCCUCACUCGCCGCGGGCUCUCCGCGGGUUCCUCGGCCUCGCCGGCUACUACCGGAAAUUCAUCCGGGAGUUCGGGCUCAUCGCGGCACCCCUCACGCGGUUGCUUCGCCGCGACGCUUUCGCCUGGGACGACGAGUGGACGACGGCGUUCGAGGCCCUCAAGGGGGCCCUCACGACGGGCCCCGUCCUCCAGAUGCCCGACUUCGACCGCCCGUUCGUGGUGGACUGUGACGCCUCGGGCGCCGGGUUCGGCGCCGUGCUUCAUCAGGGCGAUGGGCCCCUCGCUUUCUUCAGCCGGCCUUUCGCUCCACGCCAUCUUAAGCUGGCGGCAUACGAGCGGGAGCUCAUUGGCCUUGUACAGGCCGUUCGUCAUUGGCGGCCGUACUUGUGGGGACGGUCCUUCCACAUUCGCACGGACCACUACAGCCUGAAGUUCUUGCUGGACCAACGGUUGUCGACCGUGCCGCAGCACCAGUGGAUCAGCAAGCUCUUCGGCUUCGACUUCUCCGUCGAGUAUCGGCCGGGCCGUCUUAACAUCGUGGCCGACGCGCUGUCCCGUCGCGACUCCGACCUUGCUUCCUCCACCGACGAGUCCGCCGGGGCGGCCCUGUGCAUCCGCUCCGGGCCGACGUUCGGUCUCUUCGCCGACAUUCGCCGCGCCACUGGGACGGCCGACGACGCCGUCCUUCAUCAGCAGCAGCUCACGACCGGCGACCUGGAGGAGCCUUGGCGCUUCUCUGACGGACUGCUUCUCCAUGGGCGUCGGAUCUUUGUUCCGGCGCAUGAUGAUCUCCGUCACCAGGUGUUACAGCUCGCCCACUCGGCGGGUCAUGAGGGUGUGCAGAAAACCCUCCAUCGUCUUAGCGCCGACUUCUACAUCCCUAGCGAUUGCGCCCUGGUCCGCGACUGGGUUCGGUCUUGUCAGACAUGCCAGCGCAACAAGACGGAGACCCUGAGGCCGGCUGGCUUACUUCAGCCUUUGGAGGUGCCGUCUCAGGUUUGGGCGGAUAUCUCCAUGGACUUCAUCGAGGGCCUUCCCAAGGUGGGCGGCAAG